rnacentral:rRNA from 1 species
CCUACGGGUGGCAGCAGUAGGGAAUAUUGCUCAAUGGGGGAAACCCUGAAGCAGCAACGCCGCGUGGAGGAUGAAGGUUUUCGGAUUGUAAACUCCUUUUGUUAGAGAAGAUAAUGACGGUAUCUAACGAAUAAGCACCGGCUAACUCCGUGGCAGCAGCCGCGGUAAUACGGUGGGUGCAAGCGUUACUCGGAAUCACUGGGCGUAAAGAGGGCGGAGGCGGGAUAGCAAGUCAGAUGUGAAAUCCUAUGGCUUAACCAUAGAACUGCAUUUGAAACUGUUAUUCUAGAGUAUUGGAGAGGUAGGUGGAAUUCUUGGUGUAGGGGUAAAAUCCGUAGAGAUCAAGAGGAAUACUCAUUGCGAAGGCGACCUGCUAGAACAUAACUGACGCUGAUGCGCGAAAGCGUGGGGAGCAAACAGGAUUAGAUACCCGUGUAGUC